rnacentral:rRNA from 1 species
UACGUAGGGUGCAAGCGUUAAUCGGAAUUACUGGGCGUAAAGCGUGCGCAGGCGGUUCGCUAAGUCAGAUGUGAAAGCCCCGGGCUCAACCUGGGAAUGGCAUUUGAUACUCUGAGGCUGGAGUACGGGAGAGGAGAGUGGAAUUCCCAGUGUAGAGGUGAAAUUCGUAGAUAUUGGGAAGAGCACCGGUGGCGAAGGCGGCUCUCUGGACCGUAACUGACGCUGAGGCGCGAAAGCGUGGGGAGCAAACAGG